GCUGUGGACUACCACUCCCGUGAAGUAGUGCGGAAUUCCACCGCGUUCGCGGCGUCUUCGAACGCGUCCCGGCAGCCAUGUUGGACACGGCCAGCACAGGGGCCGGCACCAGGGGGUUAGCCAAGCAGCUGUCACGAUGCUGGGGUCCCUGGUAUUGAGGAGAACAGCGCCGGCGCCACGGCUCUUCCGGCUGCUUAGGUCCCCAUCACUCCGGAGACAUGGAAGUGCCUCUGGCCAGACUGUGACCACCGCGGGCCGCGGGGAGCCGCAGUGGCUGAGGGCGGCCGUCGGGGGGCGCCCUGCAACAUCGCCGGCCUUCCUCACCCGAAGAGGGGCAGCCACCUGGGGGCGCCAGGAAGAAUGCACCGAGACCCAGUGCCUCUUAGCCGCAACAUGGGAACGCCUUCCUGGCCCAGAAGACUCACCCCCGGAACGGGACAGCUGGAACGGAGUCCCCAACAGGGCUGGACUGAGCAUGUGGGCCCUGGCCACAGCGCUAGUGGUUCACUGUUACAGCAAGAGCCCCUCCAACAAGGAUGCAGCCCUGAUGGAAGCUGCUCGUACCAACAAUGUCCAAGAAGUCAGCAGGCUCUUAUCAGAAGGUGCAGAUGUCAAUGCAAGGCAUAGACUUGGUUGGACAGCACUCAUGGUGGCAGCCAUCAGCCGAAACGACAGUGUGGUGCAGGUCCUCCUUGCUGCUGGUGCUGACCCAAACCUUGGGGAUGAUUUCAGCAGUGUUUACAAGACUGCUAAGGAGCAGGGAAUCCAUUCUUUAGAAGAUGGGGGACAGGACGGUGCAAGCUGGCACAUCACAAACCAGUGGACAAGUGCCCUGGAGUUCAGGAGAUGGCUAGGAGUUCCCACUGGCGUCCUGGUCACCCGAGAGGAUGACUUCAACAACCGCCUGAACAACCGCGCCAGCUUCAAGGGCUGCACCGCCCUGCACUACGCUGUCCUUGCCGAUGACUACCGCACAGUCAAGGAGCUGCUCAAUGGAGGAGCCAACCCCCUUCAGAGGAAUGAAAUGGGACACACACCCUUGGAUUAUGCACGCGAAGGGGAGGUGAUGAAGCUUCUAAGGACUUCUGAGGCAAAGUACCAGGAGAAGCAGCGGAAGCGUGAGGCCGAGGAGCGGCGCCGCUUUCCCCUGGAGCAGCGGCUGAAAGAGCACAUCAUUGGUCAGGAGAGUGCCAUCGCCACAGUGGGUGCUGAGACGAAGAAACCAAGGCUCUGCAAGAAUAAGUGUUCCAUUCAGAGCCAAUCAGCUGCGAUCCGGAGGAAGGAGAAUGGCUGGUAUGACGAAGAACACCCUCUGGUCUUCCUCUUUUUGGGAUCAUCUGGAAUAGGAAAGACAGAGCUGGCCAAGCAGACAGCCAAAUAUAUGCACAAAGAUGCCAAAAAGGGCUUCAUCAGGCUGGACAUGUCUGAGUUCCAGGAGCGGCAUGAGGUAGCCAAGUUUAUUGGGUCCCCACCAGGCUACGUUGGCCAUGAAGAGGGUGGCCAGCUGACCAAGAAGCUGAAGCAGUGUCCCAACGCUGUGGUGCUCUUCGAUGAGGUGGACAAGGCCCAUCCAGAUGUGCUUACCAUCAUGCUGCAGCUGUUUGAUGAGGGCCGACUGACAGAUGGAAAAGGGAAGACCAUCGACUGCAAGGACGCCAUCUUCAUCAUGACCUCUAAUGUGGCCAGCGAGGAGAUUGCACAGCACGCGCUGCAGCUGAGGCAGGAGGCUUUGGAGAUGAGCCAUAACCGUCUAGCUGAAAACCUUGGGGAUGUCCAGAUUAGUGACAAGAUUACCAUCUCAAAGAACUUCAAGGAGAAUGUGAUUCGUCCCAUCCUGAAAGCUCACUUCCGGAGGGAUGAGUUUCUGGGACGAAUCAACGAGAUUGUCUAUUUCCUCCCCUUCUGCCACUCGGAGCUCAUCCAACUUGUCAACAAGGAACUGAACUUCUGGGCCAAGAGAGCCAAGCAAAGGCACAAUAUCACGCUGCUCUGGGACCGCGAGGUGGCAGACGUGUUGGUCGACGGCUACAACGUGCACUAUGGCGCCCGCUCCAUCAAGCAUGAGGUCGAGCGCCGUGUGGUGAACCAGCUGGCAGCUGCCUAUGAACAGGACCUGCUGCCGGGGGGCUGUACUCUGCGCAUCACCGUGGAAGACUCCGACAAGCAGCUGCUCAAGAGCCCAGAACUGCCCUCACCUCAGGCUGAGAAGCGUCCACCCAAGCUGCGGCUGGAGAUCAUCGACAAGGACAGCAAGACCCACAAACUGGACAUCCAGGCACCACUACACCCUGAGAAGGCCAGACCAUGUUUCUCCAGGUUUGGAACUAAGCCAGUAUAAGGCGCCCCUAGGAGGAAGGCUGACUGGGUCACUUCCCUGCUCUGCCCCGGACUGGACAAACAGUACCAAAGGACCAAGCAAGCUCAGCUCUAUGGGACUUCCUUCAGGAGACUAACACAGACACUGGGGAGCUGUAGGGAGAGAGAUAAUGAAGUCAGUCCUGGGCCCAGGUGGCCAUGAAAUCUGUAACUGCUCUGUCUGUCCUGCUGCCCCAGGUGGCUGAGGCUCUGUUUUUUUGCUCUAAGUAAAGAAGCCAUAUCUGGAGUCAUUGCCUCUCUUCACCUUUCAGUAAUCCACUAUGCAUCAGCCAGACAGAUGAGUUAAGAUGCUGCCUAGAAUGGAAGUCCAGCAGGUACGACAUGAAGUAAACUUGAAGUUAGAAGCCACACUCUAGGAAACAUCAGAAGGAAGGAAUAGGAGUCCUUGAUGUCCAUGAAGCAGCCCUGCAAGCACUGGACUCCUUACUUACAGACUUACCUUAAGUGAGGAAGAAAUAAUCUGUUGCUUUGUUU